rnacentral:rRNA from 1 species
UGACGAACGCUGGCGGCGUGCUUAAUGCAUGCAAGUCGAGGGAGAACCAGUUGCUCCGUAAGGAGGAGCUGGGGAAACCGGCGAACGGGUGCGUAACACGUGAGGAACCUGCCCUGGAGACCGGGAUAGCCCGAGGAAACUCGGAUUAAUACCGGAUACUCUCAUCGGAUCGCAUGAUCUGAUGAGGAAACAGUCCGCUGCUCCAGGAUGGCCUCGCGGCCUAUCAGCUUGUUGGUGAGGUAACGGCUCACCAAGGCAACGACGGGUAGCUGGUCUGAGAGGACGACCAACCACACUGGGACUGAGACACGGCCCAGACUCCUACGGGAGGCAGCAGCAGGGAAUAUUGCACAAUGGGCGAAAGCCUGAUGCAGCGACGCCGCGUGCGGGAUGAAGGCCUUCGGGUUGUAAACCGCUUUCAGGAGGGACGAAAAUGACGGUACCUNCAGAAGAAGGCCCGGCCAACUGCGUGCCAGCAGCCGCGGUAAU